rnacentral:rRNA from 1 species
CCUACGGGUGGCAGCAGUGGGGGAUAUUGCACAAUGGGGGAAACCCUGAUGCAGCGACGCCGCGUGUGGGAAGACGGUCCUCUGGAUUGUAAACCACUGUCCCCAGGGACGAAGAUGACGGUACCUGGGGAGGAAGCUCCGGCAAACUACGUGCCAGCAGCCGCGGUAAUACGUCGGUGGCGUGGGUUGCCCGGAAUUACUGGGUGAAAAGGGAGCGUAGUCGGGACUGACAGUUGGGUGGCAAAUCUACAGGCUCAACCGGUAGCCGCACUGAAAACUGCAUUUCUUGAGUGAAGGAGAGGCAGGCGGAAUUCCUAGUGUAGCGGUGAAAUGCGUAGAUAUUAGGAGGAACACCAGUGGCGAAGGCGGCCUGCUGGGCUUUUACUGACGCUGAGGCGCGAAAGCGUGGGGAGCAAACAGGAUUAGAUACCCUGGUAGUC